AGAGCAUGUGAGCACAUUGCAGGACCAGUAUCCAAACUCUGGGAAUGAGAUGAUGAGGGUGCUGCUUCGUGCUCAAGGUGUUAUUGUCACACAGGCCAGGGUAUGCUAAAUGUUGGGAAGGACAAACCUGACAUCUGCUGCAAGAAGGUGGAGUUGGACUGUUGCAAGAUGGUGCCAUCGAUGGACACUCGUGUCUGAUUACCUCAGCUGCAGUAGAAACAAUAGGGCAACAACAGUACUCUGUCAGUUUUUGAAAGCAACAUCUCUCUAUGGACUACCAUCAAGAGUCAGAUCAGACAAUGGGGAUGAAAACAUGCUGCUUGCUUUAUGCAUGCAUCUAGUUCAAGGGCUGGAACACAGAGGCUUCAUAACAGGAGAAUCAGUUCAUAGUCAGCGCAUAGAGCGCCUUUGGCAGGAUGUAUUUUUGCAUGUGCGGCAGGAUUUUUACAAUACAUUCUACUGUCUGGCGUACUCAGAGAAUCUUAACCCAGAUAAUGAUAUCCACAGACUUUCUUUACAUACUGUAUAUCCACCUGAGAUUCAAAGGAGGCUGGAACACUUCAGACAGGCUUGGAACCACCAUGGUUUGCCAACAUAAAGUAAUCACACAGCAGCUCAACUUUGGACAGAGGGCUUGCUCACAAACAUUAAAACUGACAACACAGCUGUCAACAAUGUGUUUGGGGAAAAUCCUUAUAGCAGCCAAACAUUGAGGCUAUCCUAGAUCACCAUGCGCCAACACAUGAUGAAGAUGACAAAGACUUCCCAGCUGCGUCUGU